GGUUCAUCCUGUGGCAGACACUCUGCCAAAUUUCACCUCAGAAUCUCAAGGAGUCAUGAUCCUAAGCGACGUCUCCUCGUGGACAUACUUGCCUAGAGAGAACUCUGCAAAGUGGUGGUUGUGCAAAUUUAUGCAGUGGGUGGACCCCACCAGGGCCAAGAGGAGAGUAAUCCAACCACCAGGUCCAACUCCAGGAGGAUGUCCUGGAACAGGAGAUUCACAUCAUGGAUGUUCAGCCAACAAAUCUGC